GACGAACGCUGGCGGCGUGCUUAACACAUGCAAGUCGAACGGAAAGGCCCUGCUUGCCGGGUACUCGAGUGGCGAACGGGUGAGUAACACGUGGGUGAUCUGCCCUGCACUUCGGGAUACGCCUGGGAAACUGGGUCUAAUACCGGAUAGGAGCCAUUUUUAGUGUGAUGGUUGGAAAGUUUUUUCGGUGUAGGAUGAGCUCGCGGCCUAUCAGCUUGUUGGUGGGGUAAUGGCCUACCAAGGCGGCGACGGGUAGCCGGCCUGAGAGGGUGGACGGCCACAUUGGGACUGAGAUACGGCCUAGACUCCGACGGGAGGCAGCAGUGGGGAAUAUUGCACAAUGGGCGCAAGCCUGAUGCAGCGACGCCGCGUGGGGGAUGACGGCCUUCGGGUUGUAAACUCCUUUCGCUAGGGACGAAGCUUUUUGUGACGGUACCUAGAUAAGAAGCACCGGCUAACUACGUG
rnacentral:rRNA from 1 species